UACAGAGGGGGCAAGCGUUGUUCGGAAUUACUGGGCGUAAAGGGCGCGUAGGCGGCCUGUUAAGUCGAACGUGAAAUCCCCGGGCUCAACCCGGGAACUGCGUCCGAUACUGGCAGGCUUGAAUCCGGGGAGAGGGAUGCGGAAUUCCCGGUGUAGAGGUGAAAUUCGUAGAUAUCGGGAGGAACACCGGUGGCGAAGGCGGCGAUCUGGGUCGAGUACUGACGCUGAGGUGCGAAAGCGUGGGGGAGCAAACAGG
rnacentral:rRNA from 1 species